rnacentral:rRNA from 1 species
GAUGAACGCUAGCUACAGGCUUAACACAUGCAAGUCGAGGGGUAACGAGAGGAAAGCUUGCUUUCCUUGUCGACGACCGGCGCACGGGUGAGUAACGCGUAUCCAACCUGCCCCCAACUAGGGAAUAACCUUGCGAAAGUAAGACUAAUACCCUAUAAUUUCCUCAGAUGACAUCUGACGAGGAAUAAGGAUUUAUCGGUUGUGGAUGGGGAUGCGUCUGAUUAGCUUGUUGGCGGGGUAACGGCCCACCAAGGCAACGAUCAGUAGGGGUUCUGAGAGGAAGGUCCCCCACAUUGGAACUGAGACACGGUCCAAACUCCUCCGGGAGGCAGCAGUGAGGAAUUUUGGUCAAUGGGCGGAAGCCUGAACCAGCCAAGUAGCGUGCAGGAUGACGGCCCUAUGGGUUGUAAACUGCUUUUAUACAGGAAUAAAGUUAGCCACGUGUGGUUAUUUGUAGGUACUGUUUGAAUAAGGACCGGCUAAUUCCGUGCCAGCAGCCGCGGUAA